rnacentral:rRNA from 1 species
AUUGAACGCUGGCGGCAGGCCUAACACAUGCAAGUCGAGCGGUAGAGAGGUGCUUGCAUCUCUUGGGAGCGGCGGACGGGUGAGUAAUGCCUAGGAAUCUGCCUAGUGGUGGGGGAUAACGUUCGGAAACGGACGCUAAUACCGCAUACGUCCUACGGGAGAAAGCGGGGGAUCUUCGGACCUCGCGCCAUUAGAUGAGCCUAGGUCGGAUUAGCUAGUUGGUGAGGUAAUGGCUCACCAAGGCGACGAUCCGUAACUGGUCUGAGAGGAUGAUCAGUCACACUGGAACUGAGACACGGUCCAGACUCCUACGGGAGGCAGCAGUGGGGAAUAAUUGGACAAUGGGCGAAAGCCUGAUCCAGCCAUGCCGCGUGUGUGAAGAAGGUCUUCGGAUUGUAAAGCACUUUAAGUUGGGAGGAAGGGUAGU